CUCUGAGGUCCACUCGCAAGGAAACGGGGCCUUUCUCUUCCUGCCUUUCCAUCCUCGAGCCCAACGGGGCAGCGCCGACCGCCCGAGGAGCCCAGUCGAUGGCGUCUCACUGUGGGUGUCACCUUGUCUCUUGGGUCCCUUGUAGGGUGGAAGCCGAAGGCCAGGCCAGGCUGCGUGGGGCCGAGACCCCUCCUCUGGCGGUGGUGGCAGGAGAGAUCCCAAGCAGGCAGCCGCCAGGCCCGAAGGCCGGCUCCUUCCUGGAUGAGCAGGCGAGGAUGGCAGCGUUGUCUUUGGAGCCAGGGGACCAGUGGUGGAAGCCGAAGGCCAGGCCAGGCUGCGUGGGGCCGAGACCCCUCCUCUGGCGGUGGUGGCAGGAGAGAUCCCAAGGUGAGUCAUGGCCCCAUGCUGCUGUCUCAGUUUGGGUCAUUGGGAUAAGGGUUUUCAUUGUCUUCUUACAAAGUAGUAAAUGUAAUCAAAGUUUAACUAUGGUCUAUUGAUA
rnacentral:lncRNA from 1 species